AUUUUUUCUGUGUAUUACAUAAAAAUCCAACGCGCUUUGCGCACUUCUGUCAAAAUGUUUAUUAUCGACAAUUUAAUUAAUCACUAGUUUUACAAAUUUUACUCAUUAAUAUUUAAUCAUUGCCAUGGUAACCGUUGCUAUGAUAACCAUU